rnacentral:rRNA from 1 species
AGAACGAACGCUGGCGGCAUGCCUAACACAUGCAAGUCGGACGCUUUCGGGGGUUUCGGCCUCCGAGGGAGUGGCGGACGGGUGAGUAGCGCGUGGGAACCUGCCCCUUUGUGGGGGAUAACCGAGGGAAACUUCGGCUAAUACCGCAUGCGCCCGGGGGUAACUCCGGGGAAAGAUUUAUCGCAGAGGGAGGGGCCCGCGUCGGAUUAGGUAGUUGGUGGGGUAACGGCCCACCAAGCCUGUGAUCCGUAGCUGGUCUGAGAGGAUGAUCAGCCACACUGGGACUGAGACACGGCCCAGACUCCUACGGGAGGCAGCAGUGGGGAAUAUUGGACAAUGGGCGCAAGCCUGAUCCAGCAAUGCCGCGUGAGUGAUGAAGGCCUUAGGGUUGUAAAGCUCUUUCGCCCGCGACGAUGAUGACGGUAGCGGGAGAAGAAGCCCCGGCUAACUUCGUGCCAGCAGCCG